CAUGGGAGCGAACAGGAUUAGAUACCCUGGUAGUCCAUGCCGUAAACGUUGGGCACUAGGUGUGGGGAGCAUUCCACGUUUUCCGCGCNGUAGCUAACGCAUUAAGUGCCCCGCCUGGGGAGUACGGCCCCAAGGCUAAAACUCAAAGGAAUUGACGGGGGCCCGCACAAGCGGCGGAGCAUGCGGAUUAAUUCGAUGCAACGCGAAGAACCUUACCAAGGCUUGACAUGCACUGGAUCGCUGCAGAGAUGUGGUUUUCUUUGGACUGGUGCACAGGUGGUGCAUGGUUGUCGUCAGCUCGUGUCGUGAGAUGUUGGGUUAAGUCCCGCAACGAGCGCAACCCUCGUUCCAUGUUGCCAGCACUUCGGGUGGGGACUCAUGGGAGACUGCCGGGGUCAACUCGGAGGAAGGUGGGGACGACGUCAAAUCAUCAUGCCCCUUAUGUCUUGGGCUUCACGCGUGCUACAAUGGUCGGUACAAUGGGUUGCGAUACUGUGAGGUGGAGCUAAUCCCAAAAAGCCGGUCUCAGUUCGGAUUGGGGUCUGCAACUCGACCCUAUGAAGUCGGAGUCGCUAGUAAUCGCAGAUCAGCAAUGCUGCGGUGAAUACGUUCCCGGGCCUUGUACACACCGCCCGUCAAGUCACGAAAGUCGGUAACACCCGAAGCCGAUGGCCCAAGC
rnacentral:rRNA from 1 species